GAUGAACGCUGGCGGCGUGCCUAAUACAUGCAAGUCGAGCGAACAGAUAAGGAGCUUGCUCCUUUGACGUUAGCGGCGGACGGGUGAGUAACACGUGGGUAACCUACCUAUAAGACUGGAAUAACUCCGGGAAACCGGGGCUAAUGCCGGAUAACAUUUAGAACCGCAUGGUUCUAAAGUGAAAGGUGGUUUUUCUAUCACUUAUAGAUGGACCCGCGCCGUAUUAGCUAGUUGGUAAGGUAACGGCUUACCAAGGCAACGAUACGUAGCCGACCUGAGAGGGUGAUCGGCCACACUGGAACUGAGACACGGUCCAGACUCCUACGGGAGGCAGCAGUAGGGAAUCUUCCGCAAUGGGCGAAAGCCUGACGGAGCAACGCCGCGUGAGUGAUGAAGGUCUUCGGAUCGUAAAACUCUGUUAUUAGGGAAGAACAAAUGUGUAAGUAACUGUGCACGUCUUGACGGUACCUAAUCAGAAAGCCACGGCUAACUACGUG
rnacentral:rRNA from 1 species